rfam:Mesocricetus auratus contig123254, whole genome shotgun sequence.
GGAGAGAUGGCUCAGAAGUUAAGAGCUCUGGCUGAUCUUCCAGAGGACCUGGGUUCAAUUCCCAGUAACCACA